CCUAUGGACGAAGCAGUAGGGAAUCUUCCACAAUGGGCGAAAGCCUGAUGGAGCAACGCCGCGUGGGUGAAGAAGGUUUUCGGAUCGUAAAACCCUGUUGUUAGAGAAGAAAGUGCGUGAGAGUAACUGUUCACGUUUCGACGGUAUCUAACCAGAAAGCCACGGCUAACUACGUGCCAGCAGCCGCGGUAACACGUAGGUGGCAAGCGUUAUCCGGAUUUAUUGGGCGUAAAGGGAACGCAGGCGGUCUUAAGGCUGAUGUUAAAGCCUUCGGCUUAACCGGAGUAGUGCAU
rnacentral:rRNA from 1 species